AACGCGCGUCUUGUCAAGCGAUAUCUCCGCCAGCCUAUCGUGUUGCUCCCGGCGAUCCGUGCGAACCGGAUGCCCUCCCCUUUUUUUCUUGAGCCGCCGACGUAGACGUCAUGCGUGGAUUUCGGGCACCGGCGCUCAUUCGGUGUGGAGUUGCUCGCGGACGGAGGAGAGUGAGAAUAGUCUCUUGUGGAACGUGGAGGAGAUUGCCACAUUGUGCGCGUUUGGACUAUUGGCACUUCAUCCAGGGACCCAAAGAGGCAGGCAUGUCGGGGGCCCGCUAGCACAGACCACUUGGAAGGCGUGAAGGCCCUCACAGAUUAAUGCUGCUCGGGGAGUUGUGCCAUAAACCAUACACGGAUGUUGACUAACUUCCUACAGCUGAUGUCAAGACGUUGCUUCAACACAGAGUUCCACACAGCAAGAAUUCUUAACCACCAGUGAAUCGAUUACUAUGCCUAUUCCUAGUUUGAGGCAAUAAAAUUAUUUUGCAAGGAGUAAAGCUAGACUUUUUAUUCAUCCCACACACCCCCCCCCC